rnacentral:rRNA from 1 species
UACAGAGGCCCCAAGCGUUACUGAGAAUCACUGGGUUAAAGGGUGCGUAGGUGGUCCGUUAAGUUCGUUGUGAAAGCCCUGGGCUCAACCCAGGAACUGACUUCGAAUACUGGACGGACUUGAGGCGAGUAUGGGUCACUGGAACUGACGGUGGAGCGGUGAAAUGCGUAGAUAUCGUCAGGAACGCCAAUGGUGAAGAC